UACAGAGGUCUCAAGCGUUGCUCGGAAUCACUGGGCGUAAAGGGUGCGUAGGCGGGUUUUUAAGUCAGGGGUGAAAUCCUGGAGCUCAACUCCAGAACUGCCUUUGAUACUGGCGGACUCGAGUCCGGGAGAGGUGAGUGGAACUGCGAGUGUAGAGGUGAAAUUCGUAGAUAUUCGCAAGAACACCAGUGGCGAAGGCGGCUCACUGGCCCGGUACUGACGCUGAGGUGCGAAAGCGUGGGGAGCAAACAGG
rnacentral:rRNA from 1 species